UACGUAGGGUGCAAGCGUUGUCCGGAAUUAUUGGGCGUAAAGAGUGCGUAGGCGGUUUGUCGCGUCUGCUGUGAAAGCCCGGAGCUCAACCCCGGGUCUGCAUUCGAUACUGGCAGACUUGAGUGUUGCAGGGGAGACUGGAAUUCCUGGUGUAGCGGUGAAAUGCGUAGAUAUCAGGAGGAACACCGGUGGCGAAGGCGGGUCUCUGGGCAAACACUGACGCUGAGGAGCGAAAGCGUGGGGAGCGAACAGG
rnacentral:rRNA from 1 species